rfam:Haemonchus placei strain MHpl1 genome assembly, scaffold: HPLM_scaffold0006957
GGCCCAAAUGUGAAGUAGAGGAUCAGAAGGAUCAUCUGACCCUACUAAGCUACUCUACUUCGAGUUUGUGCCC